GAGUGAGUGGGUCUUCGGUUGACUCGUUGUGCUAGGAAUUGGAAUCACUUAUCGAGGUAAGAUUCAUGGUGUCUUUUCAAUUUCAGUUCUUUAACUCUUUCCCAAUUAUCCUGGUUUCCGCUCACUUGUUGAGUGUUAGUCAAGUAGGGAGGGUUUAUUUAGGGUUUUGAGUUUCUGGUUGCAGAUGUAUAUGCGGAAUUUCGGACUACAUUGUUGAUCCCAAAUUCCAUAUCAGAUGGUAUCAGAGCUUAGGCUCUGGUAAAUCUACUAUCUU
rnacentral:lncRNA from 1 species